rnacentral:rRNA from 1 species
AUUGAACGCUGGCGGCAGGCCUAACACAUGCAAGUCGAGCGGAUGAAGGGGGCUUGCUCCUGGAUUCAGCGGCGGACGGGUGAGUAAUGCCUAGGAAUCUGCCUGGUAGUGGGGGAUAACGUCCGGAAACGGGCGCUAAUACCGCAUACGUCCUGAGGGAGAAAGUGGGGGAUCUUCGGACCUCACGCUAUCAGAUGAGCCUUGGUCGGAUUAGCUAGUUGGUGGGGUAAAGGCCUACCAAGGCGACGAUCCGUAACUGGUCUGAGAGGAUGAUCAGUCACACUGGAACUGAGACACGGUCCAGACUCCUACGGGAGGCAGCAGUGGGGAAUAUUGGACAAUGGGCGAAAGCCUGAUCCAGCCAUGCCGCGUGUGUGAAGAAGGUCUUCGGAUUGUAAAGCACUUUAAGUUGGGAGGAAGGGCAGUAAGUUAAUACCUUGCUGUUUUGACGUUACCAACAGAAUAAGCACCGGCUAACUUCGUG